CCUAACCCUAACUCCGAACCCCAACUCUCUCCGCCUCCCCAGUUCGAUCUCUUCGGAGACCCACAUUGGAUUCUCCAUUAAGUAUGGAUUUUGAUUCGUAUAAUACAGUUUGUAGCUAGACUAUGUUCUUCGAGGUUAACAACUGAAUUUUUAAGCGCAUUUUCUGACGACGGCUCCAAACGCCUGAUGUUUUGAAGUUGCUCUCCGUUUAAAGUAACAGGAAUCUUCUAUUAAGUACCAAAAGCUGCUCCGGGAGACACCUAUUUUCUGGUGUCUAUGUCAGGAUCCGGAACAAUUCCAGCCUCCUUCUCCCUUCGAAUCACUUCCUUCAUAAUUUCUUCAUAAGCUUUGAACAGAUGUGUGGUGUGUUCCUACCUGCUCUGCUACCAACACCUUGGAAUCUCGCAGAGAAGUCCAAUGUCUCCCUUACCGUCAUCUCAGUGUUCCAUAGGGUGGGUAGGGGCUUCCCCUGAACUACCUCACAAUCGGCUUCGACACACAGCAACCGGAGGUUGUCGUUCUCGAUGUGCUUGAUGAGAUUCUCGAUGAACAACCGCCGUUCC